GAAAUGAACAACAAAAACAAACAGAUACUGAUUUAGCUUUCUGAAUAAUUGACUAAACAAAAAUGUCAUGCAAUUUCCUGUUCGCCUCGUGAUUUGCUAUGUGAAGUCCUGAGUCUGAGUUUUGUUUGGGAUGACUUUACUUUUGAAAGUCUUUCUUGCCUUGAAAGUAUAUCAACUGAUUAUUGGAACAACAACAGAGUAGGUAUGCCAAGUGCCAAGUUGGAUGCAGAGUCGGCCCUUUCUUCCUCUUUAUCACGAUUGAAAGUUAUAGUCGUAAACAUUUUAGGAGUUUCCCAGAGCUGUUGGUCAUCAAAUUGGUUUUUUGAUUCUAAGAGUUCGCCAUGGAAGAUGUACUGUUCAUGCAGUGAAGCUGCACAGACUUGUUAUAGUAUCUUCUAACACAAUCAAGUCUAAGCUGCAAGUUUUGAAGCAUAUUGCUAUGGUUAGUCAAGACUGCCAAGCAUACUGGUUGGCUGCUGCUACUUGCUGCAAUUAUUUCAUUCGCUAUGAUGAAGGCUAUUAAGCUCAUUUUGCCUUCUAUACUUGGUUGCUCCUCUCUUCAUUGAUUUUGCACUCAGAGAUCAACAUUAACCUUGAUAGCUCGGUCUUACUAUCAUUUGUAAUGAAAGUCCUAUGAUCCCUUGCUGAACCAGAUCCUGUUUCAAUCAGAUCAGAUGAAAACAUCCGGGAUGGAAUUCCCUUUUGCUCUCUGCCUCGGAUGGCCAAAGCCUGAGAUCUUCCCUGUCUGUCUGGUGCUGUUAAACUGUCCAACCAAUUCAGCAAUUUGUAGACAUGUUAAUGAGGUGCUAUUUUACUUCUUUUGGAACUCAAUUUGCCAUAUCUUCCAUACUGCUUGUAGUUCAAAGCAGCAGAAAGAUGUGGAUUAGCUGAACCCUGAUAGGUGCUUGCAUCCUUCUUGAAGUUGUAUCUUAGCUCUAUAACAGGCAGCAUAUUUUUUCUCACUGUUCUGCAGUCGACUACAAGUUGUGCCC